rnacentral:rRNA from 1 species
UGGCUCAGAUUGAACGCUGGCGGCAGGCUUAACACAUGCAAGUCGAGCGGGGGAAGGUAGCUUGCUACUGGACCUAGCGGCGGACGGGUGAGUAAUGCUUAGGAAUCUGCCUAUUAGUGGGGGACAACAUCUCGAAAGGGAUGCUAAUACCGCAUACGUCCUACGGGAGAAAGCAGGGGAUCUUCGGACCUUGCGCUAAUAGAUGAGCCUAAGUCGGAUUAGCUAGUUGGUGGGGUAAAGGCCUACCAAGGCGACGAUCUGUAGCGGGUCUGAGAGGAUGAUCCGCCACACUGGGACUGAGACACGGCCCAGACUCCUACGGGAGGCAGCAGUGGGGAAUAUUGGACAAUGGGGGGAACCCUGAUCCAGCCAUGCCGCGUGUGUGAAGAAGGCCUUAUGGUUGUAAAGCACKUUUAAGCGAGGAGGAGGCUACUUUAGUUAAUACCUAGAGAUAGUGGACGUUACUCGCAGAAUAAGCACCGGCUAACUCUGUGCCAGCAGCCGCGGUAAUACAGAGGGUGCGAGCGUUAAUCGGAUUUACUGGGCGUAAAGCGUGCGUAGGCGGCUUAUUAAGUCGGAUGUGAAAUCCCCGAGCUUAACUUGGGAAUUGCAUUCGAUACUGGUGAGCUAGAGUAUGGGAGAGGAUGGUAGAAUUCCAGGUGUAGCGGUGAAAUGCGUAGAGAUCUGGAGGAAUACCGAUGGCGAAGGCAGCCAUCUGGCCUAAUACUGACGCUGAGGUACGAAAGCAUGGGGAGCAAACAGGAUUAGAUACCCUGGUAGUCCAUGCCGUAAACGAUGUCUACUAGCCGUUGGGGCCUUUGAGGCUUUAGUGGCGCAGCUAACGCGAUAAGUAGACCGCCU